UGUCCCUGUAGCUCAGCAGGAUAGAGCGACUGCCUCCUAAGCAGUAGGUCGAAGGUUCGAAUCCUUUCAGGGACGU
rnacentral:tRNA from 1 species